rnacentral:rRNA from 1 species
UGGGGAAUUUUGGACAAUGGGGGAAACCCUGAUCCAGCCAUCCCGCGUGUGCGAUGAAGGCCUUCGGGUUGUAAAGCACUUUUGGCAGGAAAGAAACGUCAUGGGUUAAUACCCCGUGAAACUGACGGUACCUGCAGAAUAAGCACCGGCUAACUACGUGCCAGCAGCCGCGGUAAUACGUAGGGUGCAAGCGUUAAUCGGAAUUACUGGGCGUAAAGCGUGCGCAGGCGGUUCGGAAAGAAAGAUGUGAAAUCCCAGAGCUCAACUUUGGAACUGCAUUUUUAACUACUGGGCUAGAGUGUGGCAGAGGGAGGGGGAAUUCCGCGUGGAGCAGUGAAAUGCGUAGAUAUGCGGAGGAACACCGAUGGGGAAGGCAGCCUCCUGGGAUAACACUGACGCUCAUGCACGAAAGCGUGGGGAGCAAACAGG